rnacentral:rRNA from 1 species
GACAGAGGGUGCAAACGUUGUUCGGAGUUACUGGGCGUAAAGAGUGCGUAGGCGGUCCUGUAAGUUUGGUGUGAAAUCUCCCGGCUCAACUGGGAGGGUGCGCCGAAGACUGCAGGGCUUGAGUAUGGGAGAGGUAAGCGGAAUUCCUGGUGUAGCGGUGAAAUGCGUAGAUAUCAGGAGGAACACCUGUGGUGUAGACAGCUUACUGGACCAUAACUGACGCUGAGGCACGAAAGCGUGGGUAGCAAACAGG